rnacentral:lncRNA from 1 species
GAGACUCGGUCCAGCAGCUGACGGUAUUGAACGGGGUGAUUGUUUUACAGCAGUGCCCAGAGCAACCUUGCCUCUCUCUAUCCCUUUCUGGUUCACACAGCAGUCCCCUGCUGUGAAAUCCUAUCACUGUGACACGUGUGUAAAGGUUUCUGUGUCGUUGGCCUCAUUCCUUCCUUCUUUAUUUUGGUGGGUUCUUUUGAAAACUUUAUUUUUGUGUAUUCUGUAUGUGUGCAUACACACAUGUGCAAUAUCACCAUUGUGUACAAAUGGGAUGUGGAGACCAGAGGAGAACUUUUGAGAACUGGCUCUUUUCUUUCAGCAUGGGACCUCAGGCUUGUGCAGCAGUGACACUGAGCCACCUUGCCAGCCAUGUUCCAAAUUGGUUUUCUUAAGAAGAGACUGUUCUAAUGACACAUGGGAGAGGGGGCUUGCCUGUGGAGGCCUGCCUGUGGAGCUGGCUUUCCAUCCAGUGCUGGAGUUCAGGGUGGUUGGGAGCCACCUGAGGUAGCUGCUGGGACCCGACCUCUGCUCUCCUGAAAGAGCAGUGUGAGCUCCUAACCUGUGAAGCCAUCUCUCCAGCCUCCAGGUACUUUAGCAGCUUUCUCAAGGAACAACGGUUUCUUCAUGAAUACACAUAGACUUCUCUUGGAAUUUAUUUGAUUUAUAUUAGUUGAUAUUGCAUUCCAUUACAGAUCUUACUUUUUUUUUUUUCCCCCUGAGUCAGAGUUUCUCUGUGUAUCCCUGGCUACAGAGUCCUGGAACUUGCUCUUAGACAAGGCUGGCCUUGAACUCAGAGAUCUGCCUGUCUUGCCUCCUGAGUGCUGGCAUUAAAGUCACGUCUCACCACAUCCAGCUAAAGAUCUUUUUCUGAAAUAUUUUUAUUUAUUUUUUAUUUUAUUUUAUUUCUUAUUUUUUUGGUUUUUCAAGACAGGAUUUCUCUCUGUAGCUCUGGCUGUCCUGGAACUCACUCUGUAGACCAGGCAGGCCUUGAAUUCAGAAAUCCACCUGCCUCUGCCUCGCACGGGCUGGGAUUAAAGCCGUGUGCCACCACUGUCUGGCUAGUAUUUUUAUUUUUAAUUAUGUGUGUGCCUGUGUGUCUUUGUGGGCAUGUGUGUGUGAGUUCAGUUGACAGUGGGAUCCAGAAGUGUGUCAAUUCCCUGGUAUUGGAAUUAUAGGCAGUUGUGAGUCACCAACAUAGAGACUAGGAACCAAACUUCAGGUUUUAUUGGAGGCAGCGAGCACUCUUAACUGCUGAGCCACCCCUCUACAGAACACUCCAUUUUGAUACCCAAUUUGUAUCAUCUUAAGCAUCUGGGGGCCCCACAGCUUGGCUGCCAUGUCCUUUUUUAUGCAACCCCAGUGGCUUAUGGUAGAUUUUCUUCUCAGUAGCAUUUUUAAGUAACCAAGAAAUUAUAGGUAUUGAAAUCUCAUUAAUUCAGUUUUUCUGAUAUGUUUAUACAGAAAGACAGCUAAAGUUUACCCUCUCCUGUUUUGAAUGGAAAAUUAAUAGCAUAUUCAUGUUUACAUGAAGAAAUAAACUGCAGAAGAAAGCCAUGUACAUCUCCAAGUUACUGGGAAGCUCUCAUUUACAUUCUUGCAAUUGGCAAUUAUGAAGCAACAUGGCAUUUAUUUUUACAGUAUCUUCCCACUAAGGUCUGCUGAAGGACAUGUGUCUGCAAAUAUAGAUAAAUGGUGGCAAAGAUCAGC